GUUGCAAGGUGGACAGAGGGAGUCGUGACUGUCCCCUCUGCUAGGGUGGGAAAAGCCACCAAGAAAUCAAGUCAGUCAUCAGUAUCCAGGCUACACAUUAGGCAGUGCCGGAUGUGCCCAGGUUUGACGUGUAUUUCCUGAAUCUUGUCACCUGCAGAAAGCUGCUUGAUCUCACUGGGAUGGCUGUGGCGAGGAUUAAGUGAAUAGUAGCAGAGGAGCCCACAGGAUGCUGACACACAACUGUUCCAAGAGGAACACUGCAUGCUGAUGCAAGGACUAUCCCCUCUUUACCACAUGCCGGGCUCCUUGGGAGUGGGAGUCACCGACAGUGGAUCUUGCUGAUCAUGUCGUUUGUCUCUCAAGCAGGCUGGUACCUGUCUGAACCCCCAAUGGCAACCUCCCAGGGAUAAAAAAGAUUAGGCAGCAAGAUUGAGCAUGCAAAAGGUGGCCAAGCCUAAGGUGGAGGUCUCUGACCAUUUCUAAGCUGAUAUCGACUGAGAGGAUGGCCGAGCGUACAGUUGGACCUGCGUUAGAUCACAGCUAGGCCACUUGCUUCCAUGGGGCCCCUGGUUGAGUCACAACAUGUGCCUGUGGUUUGGUUUGCUCA
rnacentral:lncRNA from 1 species